rnacentral:rRNA from 1 species
AUCUCAGUUCGGAUUGCAGGCUGCAACUCGCCUGCAUGAAGCUGGAAUUGCUAGUAAUCGCGGAUCAGCAAGCCGCGGUGAAUACGUUCCCGGGCCUUGUACACACCGCCCGUCACACCAUGAGAGUCGGGAACACCCGAAGUCCGUAGUCUAACCGCAAGGGGGCGCGGCCGAAGGUGGGUCCGGUAAUUGGGGUGAAGUCGUAACAAGGUAGC